rnacentral:rRNA from 1 species
AUUGAACGCUGGCGGCAGGCCUAACACAUGCAAGUCGAGCGAGCGGCGGACGUGUGAGUAAUGUAUGGGGACUGCCCGAUAGAGGGGGAUAUCUACUGAACACGGUGUCUAAUACCGCAUACUAUCGGAUAACCCAUAUGGGAUUAGCUAGUAGGUGGGGUAAAGGCUCACCUAGGCGACGAUCUCUAGCUGGUCUGAGAGGAGGAUCAGCCACCAUGGGACUGAGACACGGCCCAGACUCCUACGGAGGCAGCAGUGGGGAAUAUUGAACAAUGGGGGCAAGCCUGAUACAGCCAUGCCGCGUGUAUGAAGAAGGCCUUAGGGUUGUAAAGUACUUUCAGCGGGGAGGCGUUACCCGCAGAAGAAGCACCGGCUAACUCCGUGCCAGCAGCCGCGGUAAUAC